rnacentral:lncRNA from 1 species
UGAAGUAGUGAAGCAUUAGGAAGAAAGGGAUUGAGGAGGCUUAGUCCGUACAAUCCGUACAGGCCAUACAUGAGGAGUGGCCGUACAAGUCUUGGGUAACACUCUUCACUAUUCAGGAUGGUUACUUCUGAAAAGGGUGAUGGUAACUAUGGAGAGUUACCAGCACUUGAUCAGACCGUUGAGAGAAGGAUAAGGCCGCGGCUUGACAGGCUGUAUGCAGCUGGAAAGGGAAAGCAACCUUAUC